ensembl:lncRNA
GCUUUAGCAACCACUCAUGGUGGAGUUGGUGGUGAGAGCCAUCCCCAGCAAUGACAUGUGGUUCACAUUGCACCAGUAUACCCUUUGUGGUAGCAGUUGUAUCACUAAUGUGUGAUACCUGUUUGGGAAAGAGAAGACCUGGGGGGUGAGGGCAGCUUGGUGGGUGAGGCCAGUUUAUUUCACAAACCAUCCCAACAGAAAAACACAAUAGAAUUUGUUUUGUUUUGCUAAUUAAAAUUCUAGCUCUGCUCCUUCUUGUUUUAAAACAGCCGGGAGGAUAACCUGCCUUGUUUAAGAAUAUGCACUGAGUUACACAAUUGUUAAUAAAAGAGAGAAUAUGCCCGCAGCAAGAAGGCAAUGGAUGGGAGAGCAGUGUGCAGGUGCAGCACUGUAAAGGUGAGUGCCACUCAGCCAUGAGUGAAUGGGACUGAAGCUCUGGUCUGUGCGUGGGGGGCUGCUCAGUGCUGCUCUGCAUCUGUGUGCAUUGAGGCAGCUCCCCCAGCAUGCCGCCGAGGCUCAGCACGGAUGAUUUCUGUUCUCCUGGAGGGUAAUUUGUCAGGAGAUGAGCAGCAAUACGCUCUGUGUUUCUGACAGCAGCACGGACAGGUCCAGAGAAAGGCUUCAUUUUGGGGGUGAAGUAACUUUAAACUUUCCAUCAAUAAAAAAAUAAGAUUUUUUUUUUCCCUCCCCAUUGAAAGUACUUCAGUGGCUUUGUUAAACUGAGAGGGUCAGAGCUUUGGUGAGGACAAAACUCGGUUUGUGGGGAGUGUUUCCAGUGAGAGAUCCCCACUUUAGGAGGAUUAAAACGGUUUGGGAUCUUGUAAGUGUUGUCAGAGAGUUGCAAGAUUUCAUUGCAGUGGCUUUAAGUAAAUCCUUCAUUCAAAAUGUAAAUUAAAAAAAAUAAUCAGAAGGUUAAAUUUGCCCGGAAUGAAACGGUCAUUCUUCUGGAAUAAAGCUUGACAGCGUCUGAGGGAAAGUGUUCGGGUUGCUUUGUGGUAAGGGCUGGAAAGAAAAUAAGCAUUCGGUUCUUGUUCAGUUCUUUUUGCUCAGCUUUGUGUAUGUGUGUGUGUGUGGUUUUUUUUUUUUUUCCUUCCCUAUUUUUGCAGUUGGUCAAUUGAACAGAGAAGCCCAUUAAUCUUAUGGACCAGCUCUGAGAGCCUUGAGGAUUGCUGUCUUCCCGUUACUUUGGCUUUUGGGCUGAGGUGCACCUGGCUCCCUUUCUUCUUUUCGACUAUCAGCCCUGGUUGAAGUACCAGAGACAUACACUUGAUAGAGUAACUCUCCAAGAAGGCUUUCUGAGGCUUUUGUUGACAGUUCACGUCGUGCUGUGUUCUCUCCUGUGUCCGUGGGGCUCAGGGCUGGAGUGAGGUGGAGGAGUCUGAAGUGUUUGCUGUGUGCUGCAGUCCUCGAGGGAAUUGCUGGGAUGACGCACCGUGCUGAGGCUGACCUGGUGGGAGAAUGGGCAAAUGUGGAGAAGCUUUAUGAGCUGGUGGGGGGCGGUGAGACAAAUACGUGGCUCGUAGGAGGGAAAACAGUAGGAUGUGUUUAAAAUAAUAGGAGGUUGCUCAGUAGCUUGCAAAGAUGAUGAGAAGGGGUUGGUGCGUGAGUGACGGCCGUGAGAUGGUGGCAAUUUGGAGCUGAUUGACGAUGACAGGAAGGAGCUCUGGUGAGUGAAAGCAAGAAGGAGAAGGGGCAAACGAGAAGGCUGGUGUCGAGAAGUGGGCUUGGACUGUGAAUGUGCGCACAGAGCCGAUGGAUUGAAACCUCUGAGUGACAGGGAGCGAAGAGAAGACAUGAAAAAGAGACAUGAUGCGGCUUCGAUUUUAGUGAGCUGCAACAAAGAGGAUGUUUUAUGUCACUCUGAUCAUGAUGGAAAUAGGAGCCGGGAAGGAGAGGAGAAACCUUAAUGAACAAACGGGAUGGAGACAGAGAUGGCGUGUCAAAUGACUCGUUCCCUGCGAAGUAAAAUAAUAACAAAAAAAGGAUGCUCCCCUCCUUCUGGAAUCCAAGCCAUCCACCCUCCACCCCAUUUUAUAUAUUUAGGCACAUCAGUGAUAAUAUAUCACGUCAGAUGCGUUUGAUGUAUCUGCUUAUAUCAUGUCUAAUCUUGGCAGGAAGUAUAACAGUAAUUACAUUUCCUGUCAGGCUGAUCGCCUCUCCCUGCGCCUGAGCCCAGCACUCUCUAUAUGUGGGUGCAGCUUUUCUUCUGGAUAUUUGGGUGACUCUCAGCUCUGCGGUGUCCUCUCUGUGGCUCCAGAGGAGUUUUGUAGCCAAUCAGUCUUCCAAAUUAGCAGUAAUGACGUCCGUAUCAGGGCCGUUUAACACAGAAGGGUAUUGAUGAUUAACUGAUGAUUAAUUUUUUUGAGGCUGGAAGCCAUACGAUAUAUUUGUGUAUUUUAUUUGUGCAUGGGGAUCGCCUUGUGAAAACAUGCAUUAAUUACACCUUGAAAAGAGGGCACCAGGUGCCUUUGUGGGGUACUUCUGAAGAUGACAUGCUGAGUUUUUCUCCACGUUUGGUGGUUUCAUAACAAAUAUUAGGUGAAGGCAACAAAUAAUAACUACAUGUCUGAGGGAAAAGAAGGAGGGGCGGUGGAAAUGGAAUGAGGAGUGGUGGCAGUGGAAGUGAAGGAUAUUGCUCCCAGCUCUGUGACUUCACUGAGCGUAACCCGGCAAUGCCGUCCUCCUGCAGGGGGUGUUGAAGGGGUGCAGCAUGGGAUGCACAACUUCAUGCCAUUGUGAAAGCAUUUUCCAAGUUAUUUGCUAAAAAUACCUCUGGAAUGGAGAGCAUCAGAACUGCAGCAGCGGUGGAAAUGGGGGGAGCAGCUGGUCCUAGGGAGAAGAGCAGGUUUGGAGGGGAAAGCUCUGGGAAUUACUGCUCUGAAAGGCUGGUUUGCGGUCAGGAUUAAUGUCCCUCUGUCUUUGGGAAGAUUCAAAUAGUUCCCAGUUUGUGCUAAACUUUAAAGGAAAAAUGUGAAUAUCCCUUCUGGGACCGAGAGCUAAAGGUCAGAGAUUGUGAACAGCAGCAUUAAUUGCUCCACUAAACGGAAAACCCAUCGGCAUCUUUAACGGGUUGCCUAUGGAUGAGAGCAAUAUUCAUGCUGGUGAGUGAUGACACAGCAAGAUUCCAAUGGGGGGAGGUAGUUUUUUCCUUGUUACUCCACGAUAAGACAGUCACGUUGAUAAUUGUCUGGAGGUUGGAAUGAGAUGAUUGUGGAGUUCCCUUCCAAUCUACGGAGCUUUGGGUGUUAUUUCGUUUGUGUGCUGUGUCUCUAUUCCAUUGCUACAGAUGGCACAGGAUCAAGCUCCAAGAAAUGCUAACCAUGGGAUGUAGGCAUUGUGGGGCCUUGUGCCAUCCAGUGCUGACAGCAUGCUUUGCUUUACUUAAAUUAUAUGUUGAAAUUUUGGUUAGACAAUCUG